AGAAAUACCUUACUUCUUCAAAUCUAAGAUGCCAACAAUUGUGAGACACACCAUUAUCUUAUGCACCACUGAAAAGGAAACGUGUUUCUGAUAUCAUUGAAAGAUGGAGUCUCGCUGUGACACCCAGGCUGGAGUGCAAUGGUGCGAUCUCGGCUCACUGCAACAUCCGCCUCACAGGUUGUUCAGCCAGACUGGAAGACAAGUGCCUGGGGGACGGGGCGGAAAAUGAGGCAGAUGGUGGGCAGCAAGGAGGACUGAGAGGCUGGAGGCACCUGAAGGUGGUGAAGCAACCCUGAACGAUUUUUUUUUCCAGAAGAGAAUCAGGCUCCAUGGGCAGACAAGCAGACGGGCAGAUGAACAGAAGAGCAGAAGAGUGGCAAGACGGUGCAGCUGAGAGGAGGGAAGAGAAGGAG